GACAGAGGGUGCAAACGUUGCUCGGAAUUACUGGGCGUAAAGCGCGUGUAGGCGGUUCCGCAAGUCAGGUGUGAAAGCCCAGGGCUCAACCCUGGAAGUGCACUUGAUACUACGGAGCUUGAGUACUGAAGAGGAGAGCGGAAUUCCCGGUGUAGAGGUGAAAUUCGUAGAUAUCGGGAGGAGCACCAGUGGCGAAGGCGGCUCUCUGGGCAGAUACUGACGCUGAGACGCGAAAGCAUGGGGAGCAAACAGG
rnacentral:rRNA from 1 species